UUUUGAACAAUAAGAGAUGAGGUGUAAAGGUUUCUUGGUUUGACAAGCGUUCAGCUUAAUUAUUAUUGAGUGAGUACUCAAAGAAGGUGGAAAGCCUGUAUAACUGAAUAGCUUUGUUUGAACCGAGAUACUGAAGAGUCUAGUUGUUUGGGAGUACAACUUAAAGUUGGUGGUAAAUUUCAUCAAAGGCUAAAUAUAAGAAGGGACUAAUAGCGAACAAGUACCAUGAGGGAAAGUUGAAAAGAACUCUGACGAGAGAGUUAAAAAGUACGUGAAACCAUAUUGAGUAAAACAGAUAACUGUGUUGUUAUGCGGUGUGCCUAUCAACAGCAAACCUGUCAAUGCGAUUUCAUUCCUAUACGCUGAUCAUGCAGCUACGUAGGUUUGGUUAGCACAGUCAGAUGUUCUGUGUAUUAGUGCGCAUCCUAUCAUUGAGAAACUAUGCCUUCAUAGCUUCGGUACACACCAGUUCGUACUAUGUAUGUAGUUGUGUGCUGGGUCUAAUUGAAGGUGUCGUUUAGCUGUUCUGCAGCUGAGGCCACGUUUACUGGAUGAAGCUACUUUAUCUGCAAUUCGGUUUAUUCCAUUUUGCGGUGAGUACGCUCUAGUAGGUAAGUCGGUCGUCAUCAAUGAUAAACAUUAGUUAUUUGACCCGUCUUGAAACACGGACCAAGGAGUUCAAAUGGCACGCAAGUCAUUGGGUUUGAAACCCGAAGGCGAAGUGAAAUGCAAAUUUAUUGUUAUUUGUGGUUGUUCCAUGAUUAAGCGAUAAGCUACCUGUGCUUUCUGGCACUUGUAGACUACAAGCGUGAUGUUUGAGACCCGAAAGAUGGUGACCUAUGCCUAGUCAAGAUGAAGCCAGAGGAAACUCUGGUGGAUGUCUGAAGUUAUUCUGACGUGCAAAUCGAUAAUCUGAUCUGGGUAUAGGGGCGAAAGACUAAUCGAACCAUCUAGUAGCUGGUUCCUUCCGAAGUUUCCCUCAGGAUAGCAAGCAUACAAUUUUAGUUUCAUCCCGUAAAGCGAAUGAUUAGAGGUAUUGGGGCAUAUAUAGCCUCAACCUAUUCUCAAACUUUUAAUGGGUGUGAGCGAUCUUUCUUAAUUGAAGAGCGCUGCUAAAUAAGUGUGCUUAGUGGGCCAUUUUUGGUAAGCAGAACUGGCGCUGUGGGUUGAACCAAUUGUUGAGUUAAAGUGCCUAAAGCUGGAAUGCGCAUGAGAUCUAUAAAGGGUGUUAGUUGCUGAAGACAGCAGG
rnacentral:rRNA from 1 species